rnacentral:rRNA from 1 species
UGAUUGACGGGGCCCGCACAAGCGGUGGAGCAUGUGGUUUAAUUCGAUGCAACGCGAAGAACCUUACCAGGUCUUGACAUCUGUGGAACCUUGUUGAAAGAUGAGGGUGCCUUCGGGAGCCACAAGACAGGUGGUGCAUGGUUGUCGUCAGCUCGUGUCGUGAGAUGUUGGGUUAAGUCCCGCAACGAGCGCAACCCUUGCUAUUUAGUUGCUAACAUUUAAGGUGAGCACUCUAAUGGGACUGCCUGUGACAAGCAGGAGGAAGGUGGGGAUGACGUCAAAUCAUCAUGCCCUUUAUGACCUGGGCUACACACGUGCUACAAUGGAUGGUACAGAGAGCAGCGAGACCGUGAGGUGGAGCGAAUCUCUUAAAGCCAUUCUCAGUUCGGAUUGGAGUCUGCAACUCGACUCCAUGAAGUCGGAAUCGCUAGUAAUCGCGAAUCAGAACGUCGCGGUGAAUGCGUUCCCGGGCCUU